GUAACUGGAUCUGAAGCAGGAACUGAUCUGGGGAAAGAAUCUGCAGUCAGCUCUUAGGAGAAAAGAAGCCAGGUUAAUCGGGUUAUUCUCUUGGGGAUUUGGAACAGGGAUUCUGAGAAACCGGGGUGGCUAAGACAAGGGGAACAAUGUUAAAACUCCAGGGCACAGGCCUGGCCCUAAGUAAGAUCUGCAAGCAGAGGAAGAGAGAAAGGAGGAUGGAGCUGUGGUCCACAGAGACACACAAAGAUGAGCUCAUCCGUGGUGCUAUUUAUACAUAGGAGAGUAACUCCCAGCUUUCAGUUUCCAAUUCCAGUUUUCCCAAGGCCCAGAUGGCCUCUCUCUUCCUGGACCCCAACAGCUCCAUGUUUCAUCUUUUGGCAGCUAUCAAUCCCAGCAGGAACACACUCCCAGAAGUGAGUCUCCUUGGCCAACUCCCAAACAAAACAAACUGAUUGACCAUGCUUGGAUCAGUCUACCCAUGAAACUGGGGGAAGAAUCAGCCCUAACCAAACCACGUCGACUGAGUGAGUUUCCUGCACAAAGAUCCAAGGGAUACCAGGACAAGGGGAAAUGAAUACCAAGAGGUCAGGGUAACAAACACCCAAGGUCAUCUCCCAGUACUCCCCAGUAUGUACACUCUUUCAGAAGGUAUGUCUCCUCACAUACCUUCAGUGCCAGACAACAUUUGCAGGUACCUCCAAUAAAACCAGAUACCAUUUGCAGGUAUAGUGGAUCCUCAUUAUUUGAGAAUUUGCAUACUUGCUACAAUAUAUUUGUAACUCCAUACUCAAUACUUAAGGCACUUUCUUGGGUCAUUUGUGGACCUGUGCAUUUUUGUGUGUAUUGUUGGUGAGCUUGCUGCUUAAAAUGACCCCUAAGUGCAGUGCUGAAGGGCAGGUUAGCGUUCCUAAGCACAAGAAGGCCAUGAUGUACCUUAAGACGUAUGUUUCAUAAACUACAUUCAGGCAUGAGUUACGGUACUGUUUGCUGAGUUUGAGGUACGAGGCUGGCAGGACUUGUGUUCUGGUCGUAACUCUGCUGACCAAAACAGGAUCUGGCUCAGACAGGAUAAAGUGAAGAAACUGGAGGAAACCAGCAAAUGGUGACCAAAGCAAUCUCUAGCUGCCCUCAUUGCUCACUUGCAUGAGACUCUCCCACCAGCACCAUGACAGUCCACAAAUACCGUGGCAACAAUCCAGAAGUGACCACCCCUUUUCCAUGGCAAUGACCCAGAAUUUACUGUUUCUUUCCUACAAAGUCCUAAAUAAUCCUUUCCUCAAUUUGCAUUAACCCACCCCUUAAUUUUCACAUAAUUAAAAGUGGGUUUAAUUGGGUAUAAACAAAGUUGCCAACAGCCCAGGUGCUGGCUCUGGAAACACUGCCUGUGUGUUAGCCCUGCUCAGCAAGGUAGCAGUACCAUUCAAUGAAAGAUUGCUGUCUGACACCACCAGCUCACCCUCAAAUUCUUUCCCGGGCAAAGACAAACCCCCACCACCACUGACCUAAGCCCCAAAAUUAGGGAUUGCCUGUCCUGCAUCAAGUUCAAUGCUAAUUAAUCAACAAUAUAUAUUCAAUAAGGUGUUUUUUUUUUUUUUUUAAGAGAAACACUCACAAAACAAGGUUACAUAUUGAUACGUUGACAAAAUAUUGUGACCAGAGACGGACAGGACUCUCUAACCCUGUAAUUCCCCUAGGAGAAAUAAUGCAGUAUCUACUAAUUCAGUGUUUGUUGUGUCUUUAUAGAAUGUAACUGCUGCAAAUAGUAAUAAGAAAAAUAGAAUCAAUGUGUGUGUGUGUGUCUGCGUCUGUGUGUGUGUGUGUGUAAAAUCUGAUUCAAUUUUAUGCUUUCUUGGACUGCCUCCCAAAUGCCUUGUGUAUUUUGUCUUUCCAUCCACACUGCAAACUCCUCUGGAAUUCAUACCAUGUCGGCAGACAGCUAGGAACACAGUAGGUUCUCCCAAACUUACUGACUCAUGAAUAUAUUGGUCAGUUACAGAACUCACAUCAACCAAGCUACAAGCGCUUCUACUCAAAAAACAUCCGCAGCCUGAUCUACUAUCUUAUUUGCUUUUAGUCUUUCCCCUCUGGGUGUGUUGUAGACCUAUCCAAAUAUGGUCUCAAUUCAAAACUGUUUUUCAUUUUAAAGGCAAAGGAGCGUGACACAGGCUAGAGAAUUCUGUACUGAAACCAGUUCUUGACUCCGGGUAGAGAAAAGUUUGCACGUUUUACAUCUCAGUGGCCACAGACCACUAGUACUGAGCACGUACCUCUCUGGUUCCCCCGGAAAAUCAUGGCAUACACCGGCAUCUCUGGUUUUCCAUUGUCCUUGGGCUGACCUUGCAGCCAC
ensembl:lncRNA